CUAUACAUGCAAGUCGAGCGGACAGAAGGGAGCUUGCUCCCGGAUGUUAGCGGCGGACGGGUGAGUAACACGUGGGUAACCUGCCUGUAAGACUGGGAUAACUCCGGGAAACCGGAGCUAAUACCGGAUAGUUCCUUGAACCGCAUGGUUCAAGGAUGAAAGACGGUUUCGGCUGUCACUUACAGAUGGACCCGCGGCGCAUUAGCUAGUUGGUGGGGUAAUGGCUCACCAAGGCGACGAUGCGUAGCCGACCUGAGAGGGUGAUCGGCCACACUGGGACUGAGACACGGCCCAGACUCCUACGGGAGGCAGCAGUAGGGAAUCUUCCGCAAUGGACGAAAGUCUGACGGAGCAACGCCGCGUGAGUGAUGAAGGUUUUCGGAUCGUAAAGCUCUGUUGUUAGGGAAGAACAAGUGCGAGAGUAACUGCUCGCACCUUGACGGUACCUAACCAGAAAGCCACGGCUAACUACGUGCCAGCAGCCGCGGUAAUACGUAGGUGGCAAGCGUUGUCCGGAAUUAUUGGGCGUAAAGGGCUCGCAGGCGGUUUCUUAAGUCUGAUGUGAAAGCCCCCGGCUCAACCGGGGAGGGUCAUUGGAAACUGGGAAACUUGAGUGCAGAAGAGGAGAGUGGAAUUCCACGUGUAGCGGUGAAAUGCGUAGAGAUGUGGAGGAACACCAGUGGCGAAGGCGACUCUCUGGUCUGUAACUGACGCUGAGGAGCGAAAGCGUGGGGAGCGAACAGGAUUAGAUAC
rnacentral:rRNA from 1 species